GCCUUCGUGGUGCAACGGUAGCACACUCGGCGCAUAGUCGAGAUGUGAAGGUUCGAGUCCUGGCAAGGGCC
rnacentral:tRNA from 1 species